CCUCACUCAUUCAUUACUUGUAAUGCAAUCAUAUACUUGAAUACAAUACAUAGAUCUCCGCAUCGACAAUGAAGGUUUUAAUAAAGGGACUAGUCGACUUAUUGCCCAAUCCUCGUGAGGAUGUUGAUGACGAUACUCGCGACGAACGAUCCAGAUCCACUUGGGCCGAUGUUUCAUCUCAUUUUUGCUAUUUAUUCUGAUUUUAUUGGUCUGAGCCAUGCUAAAAUGCGCAGGUGGUGAGCGGGGAGCAGGAAGAAGAAGAUGUCACUAGCCGUAGACCUUCGCGCCACACACGGACACAGGCAAAUAAUCUCCCUUGCUUUCUUCACUUGUGUAAAACUAAAACUCAACUAAUUAUAUAUGUUGUCUAACUGUAUAUAUGUAGCGGCCGAUGUAUGAUCAAACGGAGGAGCGCCAAUCAGGAAGAAAUGAAGAGUAUG
rnacentral:lncRNA from 1 species